GAUGAACGCUGGCGGCGUGCCUAAUACAUGCAAGUAGAACGCUGACGGAAGAAGCUUGCUCUUUCCGGAUGAGUUGCGAACGGGUGAGUAACGCGUAGGUAACCUGCCUGGUAGCGGGGGAUAACUAUUGGAAACGAUAGCUAAUACCGCCUAACAGUAGCUGUUGCAUGAUAUCUACUUAAAAGGUGCAAUUGCCCCACUACCAGAUGGACCUGCGUUGUAUUAGCUAGUUGGUGAGGUAACGGCUCACCAAGGCGACGAUACAUAGCCGAGCUGAGAGGGUGAUCCGGCACACUGGGACUGGGGCACGGCCCAGACUUCUUAGGGAAGCAGCAGUAGGGAAACUUUGGCAAAGGACGGAAGUCUGACCGAGCAACGCCGCGGGAGUGAAGAAGGUUUUCGGAUCGGAAAGGUCCGUUGUAAGAGAAAAACGAGUGUGAGGGUGGAAAGUUCACGCUGUGACGGUAUCUUACCAGAAAGGGACGGCUAACUACGUG
rnacentral:rRNA from 1 species